rnacentral:rRNA from 1 species
GAUGAACGCUGGCGGCGUGCCUAAUGCAUGCAAGUCGAGCGAACAGACGAGGAGCUUGCUCCUCUGACGUUAGCGGCGGACGGGUGGGUAACACGUGGAUAACCUACCUAUAAGACUGGGAUAACUUCGGGAAACCGGAGCUAAUACCGGAUAAUAUAUUGAACCGCAUGGUUCAAUAGUGAAAGACGGUUUUGCUGUCACUUAUAGAUGGAUCCGCGCCGCAUUAGCUAGUUGGUAAGGUAACAGCUUACCAAGGCAACGAUGCGUAGCCGACCUGAGAGGGUGAUCGGCCACACUGGAACUGAGACACGGUCCAGACUCCUAAGGGAGGCAGCAGUAGGGAAUCCUCCGCAAUGGGCGAAAGCCUGACGGAGCAACGCCGCGUGAGUGAUGAAGGUCUUCGGAUCGUAAAACUCUGUUAUUAGGGAAGAACAAAUGUGUAAGUAACUAUGCACGUCUUGACGGUACCUAAUCAGAAAGUCACGGCUAACUACGUG